CUAAGUGAGCUACUUUAAAGCAGCUAUUAGAGCUAACCCGUCUCUGUCGCAAAAGAGUGGGGUGACUUUAAAGUAGAGGUGAUAGACCUACCGAACUUAGAGAUAGCUGGUUUUUUAAGAAAAGAAUUUUAGUUCAGCCCCAAGCCUUUCGUUAAGCAAAAAACCUUCUUAGGCCUGGGAGUCAUUCAUAUAGGGCACAGCCUAUUUGAAACAGGAUACAACCUAGAAUAUAGGGUAAAACAAUGUGAUUUUUCUAUAAGUGGGCUUGAAAGCAGCCACCUUUCAAAAAGCGUUGUAGCUUAUUGAUACUGAUUAUUUAAUAACCUCAAAAAUGUUUAACCCACACACACUAUUAAACUAUCCCAUAAAUUUAUGGGAGCUAUCAUGCUAGAACAAGUAACAAGAAAAAGAUUUUUCUCCAAAAUACAAGCUUUAGCCGCUACAGACAAACUACCGGCAAUUAACGCCUUUUAACUAAUUUAGUAACUCUAACAAGAAAACCCUAUAAACCCCCAGCGUC
rnacentral:rRNA from 1 species